rfam:Cricetulus griseus cell line CHO-K1, whole genome shotgun sequence.
GGUGGGAUGGCUCAGAGGUUAAGAGCACUGGCUUUUCUUCCAGAGGUCCUGAGUUCAAUUCCCAGCAACCA